rnacentral:rRNA from 1 species
UACGUAGGGGGCAAGCGUUGUCCGGAUUUAUUGGGCGUAAAGAGCGUGUAGGCGGCCUGAAAGGUCAGCUGUGAAAACUCGAGGCUCAACCUCGAGACGUCGGUUGAAACCAUCUGGCUAGAGUCCGGAAGAGGAGUGUGGAAUUCCCGGUGUAGCGGUGAAAUGCGCAGAUAUCGGGAAGAACACCCGUGGCGAAGGCGGCACUCUGGGUCGAUACUGACGCUGAGGUGCGAAAGCGUGGGGAGCAAACAGG